rnacentral:rRNA from 1 species
UACGGAGGAUGCAAGCGUUAUCCGGAAUGAUUGGGCGUAAAGCGUCCGCAGGUGGCAAUGUAAGUCUGCUGUUAAGGAGUCUAGCUCAACUAGAUAAAAGCAGUGGAAACUACAUAGCUAGAGUACGUUCGGGGCAGAGGGAAUUCCUGGUGUAGCGGUGAAAUGCGUAGAGAUCAGGAAGAACACCAGUGGCGAAGGCGCUCUGCUAGGCCGUAACUGACACUGAGGGACGAAAGCUAGGGGAGCGAAUGGG